rnacentral:rRNA from 1 species
UAGGGAAUCUUCCGCAAUGGACGCAAGUCUGACGGAGCAACGCCGCGUGAGUGAAGAAGGAUUUCGGUUCGUAAAACUCUGUUGUUAGAGAAGAACAGCGCAUAGAGUAACUGUUAUGCGUGUGACGGUAUCUAACCAGAAAGCCACGGCUAACUACGUGCCAGCAGCCGCGGUAAUACGUAGGUGGCAAGCGUUGUCCGGAUUUAUUGGGCGUAAAGCGAGCGCAGGCGGUUAGAAAAGUCUGAAGUGAAAGGCAGUGGCUCAACCAUUGUAGGCUUUGGAAACUGUUUAACUUGAGUGCAGAAGGGGAGAGUGGAAUUCCAUGUGUAGCGGUGAAAUGCGUAGAUAUAUGGAGGAACACCGGUGGCGAAGGCGACUCUCUGGUCUGUAACUGACGCUGAGGCUCGAAAGCGUGGGUAGCAAACAGG